CUGGUAGUAGCUGAGGAGGUAACACCUGGUAGUUCAGCCUGGCUGUAGUUAAUUCACCCCUUCCUCCUGAUCCCCCACCCUGGUUCUGGCUGGCCAUUGUGUGGUAGCACUGAAGCCUGGGGAGUCAGGAGAUGUAGACCCCUUAUGAAAUACAAGGAAAUGGUUCUGUCUGCCCUGUUGCUGCAUGCCACUUAAUGUCUGAACUUCAGAUCUCCGCCACACUGCUAAGAUGGGGGCCGAAUUUGUGUAUGCUGGAGGAUUGCACAUGAGAUGGGACCCGUCUCGGCACCAGCCAUGUAGAGAUUGGGUGAAGCCAAUCAGGAGCAAGAUGUUCUUGAGGCUCCGUGCAUCCACCUCACCAGGGCCGUUGAAGAUCUCAAAGUAGCUGCGGAAGGCUGUCAAGAGGCACAGGGCGACCAAGGUGAGAUGCUCCUCAGACCGCUCCUCCCAGCUCUGGUACAGUUUGAAGAGGCCAUGCUCUUCCGGCUCCUGCCUGCAGAACAAUGGACCCAGGACAGUUUGCAACCACCUCCUGCCUGCCUCUGCCCCUGCCUCUGUCCCUGUCUCUGCCAAGGCUACCCAAGACAGGGGAAAUGAAGCCAGGGCGGCACAGGAGGCACUUCAUGAAGCCCCGACGGGAGUUCCCAGAUGCAUGGGUUCCUGCAGCUGCCGAAGCCUGCUGCCGUUGCUUCUGCCCUUGGCCCAGCUCCUUCUUCUCAGCAAU